AUUGAACGCUGGCGGCAGGCUUAACACAUGCAAGUCGAGCGGGGUGAUGGUGCUUGCACUAUCACUUAGCGGCGGACGGGUGAGUAAUGCUUAGGAAUCUGCCUAUUAGUGGGGGACAACAUCUCGAAAGGGAUGCUAAUACCGCAUACGUCCUACGGGAGAAAGCAGGGGCUCACUUGUGACCUUGCGCUAAUAGAUGAUCCUAAGUCGGAUUAGCUAGUUGGUGGGGUAAAGGCCUACCAAGGCGACGAUCUGUAGCGGGUCUGAGAGGAUGAUCCGCCACACUGGGACUGAGACACGGCCCAGACUCCUACGGGAGGCAGCAGUGGGGAAUAUUGGACAAUGGGGGGAACCCUGAUCCAGCCAUGCCGCGUGUGUGAAGAAGGCCUUAUGGUUGUAAAGCACUUUAAGCGAGGAGGAGGCUCUUUUGGUUAAUACCCAAGAUGAGUGGACGUUACUCGCAGAAUAAGCACCGGCUAACUCUGUGCCAGCAGCCGCCGUAA
rnacentral:rRNA from 1 species